AUGGCUGUCGUCAGCUCGUGUCGUGAGAUGUUGGGUUAAGUCCCGCAACGAGCGUAACCCCUGUUGCUAGUUACCAGCGGAUAAUGCCGGGGACUCUAGCGAAACUGCCUGCGCAAGCAGUGAGAAAGGUGGGGAUGACGUCAAGUCAUCAUGGUCCUUACGCCUAGGGCUGCACACGUGCUACAAUGGCCGGUACAACGAGCAGCCACCUCGCGAGAGGGAGCGAAUCUCUGAAAACCGGUCCCAGUUCGGAUUGGAGUCUGCAACUCGACUCCAUGAAGCAGGAAUCGCUAGUAAUCGCGGAUCAGCAAUGCCGCGGUGAAUCCGUUCCCGGGCCUUGUACACACCGCCCGU
rnacentral:rRNA from 1 species